rnacentral:rRNA from 1 species
GAGAUGCUUUGGUGCCUUCGGGAACUCUGAGACAGGUGCUGCAUGGCUGUCGUCAGCUCGUGUUGUGAAAUGUUGGGUUAAGUCCCGCAACGAGCGCAACCCUUAUCCUUUGUUGCCAGCGGUCCGGUCGGGAACUCAAAGGAGACUGCCAGUGAUAAACUGGAGGAAGGUGGGGAUGACGUCAAGUCAUCAUGGCCCUUACGAGUAGGGCUACACACGUGCUACAAUGGCAUAUACAAAGAGAAGCGACC